rnacentral:lncRNA from 1 species
CGUCUUAUUGGUUAAUAAACUAGAGUUAUGUAGUUCAGUUAUUCAGUUGUCUGUUGUUUGAUUGUCAGACUUAGUGGUUUUUGAGUAUUGUGUAUGUUUGAUGAUUCUCUAUAUUUCAAGGUGAUAUUAGUGGUUUAUUUGUGAUAUGUAGUUGAUGGUUUUAUCGUACGUAGUUUUCUAACCCUCGUGGUAGCUGGCUUUUCAAAAGUGAGUUUCCGUGUGGGAAAUAGUUUUCAAAUGACUUUCGAAUUUAUUGAUGUUUGCUGUUUUUAAAUAUAGUUUCUGGGUGGGAAACACUUUUAAAGAAUAGAACUGAUUGCUGUAAUGUGCAUUGGCAUCAUCCUUCGCCUAAGGAGUGUUUAGAGCAUGCAUCAACGUAAGGAUGGUUAGCUGAAUGGUUAUCUGACAUCCGUAUUGUGUAUGUUGUUUGUGUGAGUGGAUGAGUGCAUUGUUGUAUAUUUUGUGUUGGUAAGCCGUGCAGAUACAGGAAAGACUCUGCAAGUGUGGACAGAGAGAUUUAUGUAUCUUUGGUGGGUUU